AGCAGUCGCCGCGGUAAUACGGAGGGUGCAAGCGUUAUCCGGAUUUAUUGGGUUUAAAGGGUCCGUAGGCGGAUCUGUAAGUCAGUGGUGAAAUCUCACAGCUUAACUGUGAAACUGCCAUUGAUACUGCAGGUCUUGAGUAAAUUUGAAGUGGCUGGAAUAAGUAGUGUAGCGGUGAAAUGCAUAGAUAUUACUUAGAACACCAAUUGCGAAGGCAGGUCACUAAGAUUUAACUGACGCUGAUGGACGAAAGCGUGGGGAGCGAACAGGAUUAGAUACCCCAGUAGUCCCUGUCUCUUAUAC
rnacentral:rRNA from 1 species